AUUGAACGCUGGCGGCAGGCCUAACACAUGCAAGUCGAACGAGUGGCGGACGGGUGAGUAAUGUCUGGGAAACUGCCCGAUGGAGGGGGAUAACUACUGGAAACGGUAGCUAAUACCGCAUACCAUCGGAUGUGCCCAGUUGGGAUUAGCUAGUAGGUGGGGUAAUGGCUCACCUAGGCGACGAUCCCUAGCUGGUCUGAGAGGAUGACCAGCUACACUGGAACUGAGUCACGGUCCAGACUCCUACGGUAGGCAGCAGUGGGGAAUAUUGCACAAUGGGCGGAGGCCUAAUGCAGCCAUGCCGCGUGUGUGAAGAAGGCCUUCGGGUUGUAUAGCACUUUCAGCGGGGAGGCGUUACCCGCAGAAGAAGCACCGGCUAACUCCGUGCCAGCAGCCGCGGUAAUUC
rnacentral:rRNA from 1 species